rnacentral:misc_RNA from 1 species
GGAGGUGAAGGCGAAGAGACAGAAAAUGGAACAACCCAAGAGAAGGGCUCCAUUUGUGGAUUUGACUCUCUUUAUCAUCUCCUUCAAACUUCUCUCAGCCCCCAACUUUUCCAGGAAGUCAAUCGAAUACUUCUGGGCCUAAAUUGUGGAAAGAAACUUGAGUCUAUUGCUCUUCCGCAGCCUGUCAAAGCUCUCUCUGCUAAUCACGACUUUGAUCUUCAGGCUUUUAGUUUUUCUGCGGACAAAGAGUCACUUAGAGGACCUCGUGUUGUGAGGGUUGGCCUCAUUCAGAAUUCUAUUGCUCUACCCACAACUGAACCUUUCCUAAACCAAAGGGAGGCCAUCUUUCAAAAGUUAAUUCCCAUGAUUGAUGCUGCAGGCUCUUCAGGAGUCAACAUUCUAUGCUUGCAAGAGGCAUGGACGAUGCCAUUUGCAUUUUGUACUCGCGAGAAAAAAUGGUGUGAAUUUGCUGAAGAGAUUGAUGGAGAAUCAACAAAGUUUCUUCAGCAACUUGCACAAAAAUAUAACAUGGUUAUCAUUAGUCCAAUUCUUGAGAGGGAUGUGAACCAUGGAGAAACCCUGUGGAACACGGCAGUAAUAAUUGGAAAUCAUGGUAACAUAAUAGGGAAACAUCGGAAGAAUCAUAUACCUAGAGUUGGGGACUUCAACGAGAGUACAUAUUAUAUGGAAGGGAACACUGGCCAUCCCGUGUUUGAGACAGCAUAUGGCAAGAUUGCUGUUAAUAUAUGUUAUGGAAGGCACCAUCCUUUGAACUGGUUAGCUUUUGGGUUAAACGGUGCAGAAAUUGUUUUCAACCCAUCAGCUACUGUUGGUGAACUUAGUGAACCAAUGUGGCCCAUAGAGGCUCGCAACGCAGCAAUAGCAAAUAGUUAUUUUGUUGGUUCAAUUAACCGUGUUGGAACAGAAGUUUUCCCUAAUCCCUUCACUUCAGGAGAUGGAAAGCCACAACAUGCAGAUUUUGGGCAUUUCUAUGGUUCGAGUCAUUUUUCUGCACCAGAUGCUUCAUGUACACCGUCUCUGGCCCGUCACAAGGAUGGAUUGUUGAUAUCUGACAUGGAUCUCAACCUUUGCCGGCAGUUGAAGGACAAGUGGGGAUUUCGAAUGACU